GUGUCAGCAGCCGCGGUAAUACAGAGGGCCCGAGCGUUGCGCGGAAUCACUGGGCUUAAAGCGUGCGUAGGCGGAUCGUUAAGCGUUUUGUGAAAUCCCACGGCUCAACCGUGGAAUUGCAGGGCGAACUGGCGAUCUUGAGGUCGGUAGGGGUCGUUGGAACGCUAGGUGGAGCGGUGAAAUGCGUAGAUAUCUAGCGGAACGCCGAAGGUGAAGACAAGCGACUGGGCCGAUUCUGACGCUGAGGCACGAAAGCGUGGGGAGCGAACGGGAUUAGAUACCCGCGUAGUCC
rnacentral:rRNA from 1 species